rnacentral:misc_RNA from 1 species
AAGUCGUAACAAGGUUUCCGUAGGUGAACCUGCGGAAGGAUCAUUAAUGAAAUUAUGACUGGGGUUGUAGCUGGCCUAUAAAACGGCAUGUGCACGCUCCUUUCACAAUCCACACACACCUGUGCACCUUCGCGGGGGUCUUUUUUUCUCUUUGGGGGAAUAAAGACUCGCGUCCCUUUACACACCCUUUGUAUGUCUUAAGAAUGUCUACUCGAUGUAAUAAAACGCAUCUAAUACAACUUUCAACAACGGAUCUCUUGGCUCUC